UCUAUCCAGGGCAACAGAGCAAGACCCUGUCUCAAAAAAAAAAAAAAGUCUACAAAGUAUUUCUCUAUUUUUGUACCUGUUUUGUAGGCCUUUUUAUUCGGAAUUAUUUGACAAAGGCAAAGAUUAUUACAUUCCUAAUCCAAAGAGGUGUUUGUAUAUGAGAGAAGAACUCUGAGGCCAGUUGUCUGCAGCAUCCAGUACUGCUCAUAGUUCUAACAGGUGUAAUGAUUGCCAUACCUCCAGCCAUAGUUUCCUCCCAAGGCAUGUGUUAUUAAAUGUUCAGGGUUCUGAAGUUUUAAAAAAACCUCAGUCUCACCUGAGAAGGGUUCCCUUCCUAAGCACACAGCUGAUAAAGGGCCGCACAAUUGUCUGCUGGGUGAUGUUUCUAACAGCAGGAGAGCCCCUGAGAAGGACCUGAAGAGCUCAGCCUGCACAUUAUUCUGGAGUCAGCUCGCUCCACAAAUUCAGUGCUGCUGAAUUAACAUGUGGAUGCCAGAAAUCUCCAAAAUUUAGUGAUGUGAGGUUGAGUUCCUAAUAAUUUUUCUUCUAUUACAUUCUAAAUCAUCUUUCCCCUUACAGAAGUAAUUAAGAUAUAUAUAUAUGCUCUGAUUUUUUUAGAAUGGAUGAUUGGAAUGAAAAAUAAGGCAAUAAAAGUGAACAAAGCUUAAAUUUUAAUAGUUCUGUUUUCUUUUAUUUACAGAAACAAUCUGGAAAAGAUGACUAAAAAUCAUAAUCCUAGCUCCAGAAGGAAGAACUGAAAGAGUUUAUGUGCUAGUGUUAAUGUUAUAAGCAAAAACUAAUGUGACCAUUGGGACAACAGCUAGGAUAGGCUAUUUGGCCAAUACAGUGUGAGUUGCUUAUCCAGAACUGUGCUAUCUUUUCCUAGGGUUUUCUGAGCAGCAUAGUAUAGUGGUUCAGAACAUGGACUGUGGAACCAGAUCGCCAGAGUCAAACCCCAUCUCCACCGCACACCAGCAGUGUGGCCUUGGGCAAGAGCUAUAACCCUCUGGCAUCCUCAUAAUGGAACCUACCUCAUAGGUUGUUGUGAAGGUUCAAUUUGUGAUAUUCUUAGUGCCAAGCACUUAGGGCUAUUCCGACACAAAUACAAAACUCAACUGAAACACCUAUUCAUGAUCUGGUGCUCUACGAUGUAAAAAACCUGGGAUCUUUGUUUUUAGACACCCUUCUUGACCAUUUGACUGUCAAUGUCUCCACAAAAGGAUAAGUACUUAAAGAUCCUGAACCCAAAGUCUAAUUGUAAUACUAAAUAAAGAUGUUUUAGUAAUGAAUCACACCAGAAGCAAAUGAGUAGAAUGGGAUUUGCAUUAGGAUCCCAAUUAUCCAGGUUUUUCCUAAACCUUUACACUCAGAUAUAUUUUAAAGGUCUUCAUAAAGGAAAUAAAACUUAGGAAAUUUACUUCCAGUAGAGUCAACUCUUUACAACCAGAUUAUCCACAUGUAAGCCUCCAGACCAUAGCCCUGCAGAGGCAGGGAGUUAGAAAGUCUGAGGGCAGCCAGUGGGAAGGGGUACCACCUCACUGCAGUGGAACUGAUCCUGCUUCAGAGGCUCCCUGCCAAACCCUUUCUGAGUCUGUCCCAAAGCUUUCUCCCAGUUUCUUUGGGUUUUUUGGCAAUUAUACACAUAGCUUAGCUAAUCUGUCUACAGAUUGAGCAACAUAAGGCAUUUUUCUAGAUUCUCACUGGGAAUCUUCUAUCAAUAAUGAUAACAGCAACAGAGUUACACCGCUAUUAUGUGCCAAGCACUGUUCUAAGCUAUCCUGUGCAUUACCUCAUUUAACUCUCACAGCACCUCCAUGAGAAAGGUACUAUCCUCACAUCACAGAAGAGGAAACAGGAUCAGGGAGGUAAAGUAACCAGGUCGCUGUGCUAAUCAGUGACAGGCUCACAUCGGAACCAGUCUGCCUCCAGACCGUAUGCUCUUAACCAUAUUAACUAUACUGGCUCUGAUUUUUUUUUUCAUUUUCAGUGAUAUUUUAGUAUAGAAAAUACCAAUUGAUAGAAAAUGCUAAUAUGUAAAGAUCUAAGCAGCCUAUAUGCUUUUCAAAUUAAACUUGCAGCUUUAAUCCUGUGGUAACCAUUUUACAUGAAAAGACUGUUGGGUUAUAAAUAAGUCCCCAAAGGAACUCUUUGGUCUAAAAUGGUUUUAUUUUAUUCAGUUUUCUUUUACUUUUGAAUUGAUCUUUUUGAUUUCUGAAGGCAGCAGAUUUGGCAGAUUCCUACAUGGUCUGAAAUCAAGGACCCAGUAACCAGCAUUGAUCUGUACUGAUAUAACUUUUCAAAGGUUGGUUUUUUGUUGUUUUGUUGUUGUUAAAUUGCAUAGACUUAGGAGUUCACUAAUCUUUAAAUAAAAGCAGGUUUUAGUAAAUUAGUUGGGAUUGUGAAUGCAUAAGGCUUCUGAAUUAGGAAUGGCAUUUUCAGCAAGCAAGGGUGCUGAUCAAGACUACAGAGAGUGCUUUUUAUGAGGAAUAUAUCAGGUAUCCCCCUGAGGUGAGAAUCCAUUUCAUAACCAAGUAUUUGCUAAGUAUAAACCAAAUCACAUAACUGUAACUCAUCAUUCCAAUAGUAUGCAUUGUUUAGUUGCGGCAUGAUUUCUAACUUUUCCUUAGCCUACACAUAACAAGUAGGUAGAUAUUAAAGUCCAGCCAAGAGCUAUGGGAAUGUCAGACACAUAAUUCUUGAAUUAUGCCACCCUUUUACCUGCUAGGUUGGGAGAAACAUUCUUCUGACAUUUAGAAGAUGUGGUCCUUAGCCUCAGGCUGUGAGUCUUGGCACUCACCAAUAAGACGGGCUUCAGCCUACCUUGUAAACUGGGCAGUGAUGGAUGAACCCAAGGGUUCCUGCAAGGCCUGAGGUCUGGCUAAAGCUGCCCCUGCUAUUGCCAAUUGCUCUACAGUCCACAUUGCCCUUCCCAAAACCACCCAGCUAGAGUCACAAGUGCCCAUCUGCAAGCUUAAUCUCACCAACAGGUUAGCCUGGGCUUAGUCUUACUGCUACAGGGUCACACACCCAUUUUUUCCCAAAACAAUUACUUCCUAAGUUUUCUGACUGUUGACUCUGUCCACAUUCUUAGGCCUUUGCCUCAGUUACCUGCCUAGUUCCCCAGUCAUCUCCUGCAAUUUGACCAGGUCCAGCAUCUGGUCUCUUUAGCCUCCUAGCUGAUGACACCUAGCUUUCCUGCACUGAGGACUGGUACUAUGCAGACCAGGGCGCAUGGCAGACAGAGAAGGCCUGAUUGUACAAGCAAAGCACACAGGUAAUGAAUAGCUGUCAAACUCUGAGCAAUCUAAUUCCCUGAAGAAAGGGCUGGCAAGAGUGAAGUGGGUGGGAGGCCCUCUGUCCUGGAAGAUACAGGAGAAUAAGGCAGGGGAACCAGGUCAAGAAAACAAAAGCUGAGGGGCACUCUGCCCCCAGCCCUGCUGCACACUCAUGCCUAAGUGCUGCCUUGCGUUGCUCCCUGGAGAGCCUCAGCCUAAUCAAGCCCCGCUCGGCCCUCAGAAUCCAGCUCAGAUGUCACUGCCUCCUACCCCCAAAGGUUCUCCAACUCCUCAGUACCAUGUGAAGUCUAUCUUUGGGCUGUAGGACUCUGUGCCACAGAUAAUUGCUUUCAUAGGGGUGGGAGAAAAUAUUAGUAACAGGAGAAGAAUAUGGGCUUUGUAAUCAGACAGGAUUUCAUGUCCCUAUUCUGCCAGUUAGUAACUGCGAUCUUAGGUAAGUAACUGAAGAUGUCCUGAGCCUCAGCUUCCUCAUCUUUAAAUGGAGACUUUUUUAAAAAACUGGCAAAGAUAAUACUAUGUGUUCAUCAUGCUGUUUAUUCUUUGGAGGCACACAGGAAGACCACAUUUACCAGCCUCCCUCGCAGCUGAGUUGGUGCCAGGCCUGGCCCUUGAAAAUAUCCCACAUCAUCUUUGCACAAGCAAAAACUAUAAUUUUAUUGUGUUAAGCCAUUUGAGUAUUUGUUACUGCAGCAGAGCACAUAGCCUAUCCUUGCAAAAAUAGAGUACUUCUAAAUUUAUGUUCCUGUCAGCACUGUAUGACACUACCCGUUCGGUCCUGGCCAUCACUGUGUUUUAGCAUUAAAAAUAACAAAUAGUUCUACGUGCCUCAUGACAUAAAUACUCUGCUGACAUGCAACCUCCAAAAGCAGUGGAGCCAAGACUACGGGUAAGGUUACUAUUUUUUCUUUUUAACAGCUACCUCCUUCCUCAAAGGGAUGGAAAGGGGUCCCGAUUGUCGGUGUGCCAGCCAGGGUUUAUACAGCAGGUGUCUGAAUGUUUGCACAUGAAGUGUCUGUAAAUUUUAAUGUAUUUUAAUGAAUUCUGUUGUAAAUCUCUUUGUAAAAUGAAUAAUCAUGUUCUGAUUAUCUCUAAUAAUUCAUAUUUUCAUAUAUCAAUUUAGCUUAAAGGAUCUUACUACAUGAUCUAAUACCUAUAAAAGGAAGAAACUUAGAAAGAUAAACUAGCUAUGAAAUGAAGACCUUAACAGAGUGCCUGCCAGACCAGUAUCGUUUCACCUUGACCACUUUGGAUGUGGAUGGAAGAGAGAUGUCUCAGAAGACGUCUCCAUGGGCCUGGAUCUCCUGGAAAUCAGACCCUGUGGCUACGUGGAGUAACUUGAACAGCAGUUUCUCUCCAGCAUCCUUUCAGGACAGCAAAUAUAUAGGAAAUUAUGCUGCCUACACUGAUCUUCUGUUAAACUGCAACAUGGUCAUCACUGCCAAAGGACUCCUGGAUUUCCAUAUUAUGUAUGAAACCCACAGCAUGAAAAGAAAAAGUUCGAAGAAGAAAGGAAAUUGGAUUCCUAUUUCAAAACAUCAAGACACUGUGGACAUCACCAACAUAGAACAGACCUUCUGCACAUCCGGCAGGAUCUCUGUCUGUGCUCAUGGACCUCCCCAGCCCUGCCCAGUGUUCUCACCCAGGAACAAGAAUAACAAAGUCACUGCUAAGUCUGUCCCAGAAGAUCCUACAGGUCACCCUACCCAUACUCCCCUCCCUACAUGCCCACAUCCCACCUGGGCAGUGGGUACAAAAGCAGUAACCAAGUGGCCAAGGGAGCAGAGAGGUGACCACCAGGUUUAAAAUGAUGCAGAUGAGGUGAUUCAUCCCAAUGAUGACCAAGCAGCUACUCACAGUGCGCUGCGUCUGCCCUGCUCCAUACUGGAGCUCCUGAAGACAGGCAGGACGCUGAUGUACAAGUGACAGUGGAAAAGAAAAAAAGCCAGUGAUUUUAAAAAAUGAAUACAAGAUGGUACAACUGAAUACCAAAAAAGAAAAGCUGUAGCAUCAUAGAGAAUCUUACUGGAGUUGUGGGCAUCUCCUAAAUGGGCUUAAAACUACUAGCAGCAAACAGCUGCGGAACAAUUUUUAAACAGCAGGUGAUGAAAUUUAGUGCACAUCAGUUUGUCAAAGCUGCAUUUCCAAGUUGUCAUAAAUCUGCGUCUCAGCCUAUGGGAUGGGCAUGGACAGCAGAAAAAUCUGACAGUGAAUAUAAUAAAGGCUGUGAAAGAAGAAAUGGAGAGGAGAGAGGAGAAGGUGGACUCGGAGGAGAGAAGCCAGCCUUGCCCAGAGCCUGCGGCCGCGUGCCAGCAUUCACAUCUGCCUUGCCAGGAGCGCGAGGCCCGCUGGUGCGCCGUCCUGCAGACGCGCCUAACCCGUGUCUCCAGGGACGCCUUCAGCCCAGUCCUCACCGACAGCAUCACUUUUUGACACUCAUUUUACAGAAGCCUCCUGGGUGAUUAGCCAUCAUCCGUCUCCCAGGGACGGAAGUGCUCCGCACGUCAUCUACCAGUGACCGCUGGGGCGGGGUCUCUGCUUUCUAGGGGGCGAGGAGUCUGGCCUGGGCCCUGGCCCUGAGGCUGCAGCGUGAUCAAAGCUAUAACAGCGGCCAGGACAGGGGACUGAGGCUGUAGGAGAGUGGGCAUCCGGCCUCGAAGAGUCAUCAGGACAGUUAGCGUGGACUCCGUGGAGUGGGCAGGGAGAAGGGGGCCAGACAGCACCGGAGACCAGUGUGGAAGGGCAGACGGGCCUGGCAGCCAGAGGGCCCAGCUCAUCUGCGGACGGCUGCAAAACCUUGGGCAAGUUACAUCAUUUCUCCAGGCUUCACUUUUUUAUAUGUGGAUUGGGAGAAGCUAAUUACUCACAAUUAUUCUUUCUCAGCCCACCUUUGCCAAGGUCCACUGUGGGCAGAGAAUGCUCCCUACACCAUUGAUGAUGGGCUCGGCCCUGUGACGCUUCAGCCACUGAAAUGUGGGUGGCAAUGACGGGACAGCUCCAAACCAAGGCCACCAGCCCCUCUGUGCUCUGUACCUGCCACGAGAAGGGCACGGCCUGGGGAGCUGUUGCUCCAAGAACACAGAGACACAUGGAACAGCCUGAAUCCAACCCACAGCCUGAAGCAGAGCGGCCGCAGCCAACGCACAAACCCGAGAGCAAGAAAAAUAAUGUCUGUGGCUGUAGGAUUUGACACGCAGCAUCACUGACGCAGAAAUUUAAAUGUCCAGCAAAGUGUCGGGCACAGGAAGUGCUGAGAGGCCAGUAACAGCUUUGCUUUAGGCACAAUGAAAGGGCAUGGGCUUUGGGGACCAAUGCUAUUCUCACUGACCACGUGACCGUGACCACAUUUCGUAGCAUCUCUGAGCCAGUGUCUUCAUUUUCCAGCAGAGGGAAUGUGAGGAUUAAAUAGAGCGAUGCCACUAAAGUGCUCAGAGCCGUACAAGGCACACUCAGAGGCAUUGUUAUUUAUUUAACAUACAUGUAUAUUUGCCAGGCACUGUUCUAAAUACUUGACAAAUAUUAUCUUAUUUAACGUAUCAACUCUCCAUGGCAGGUACUAUUUAUUUUCCUCUUUAUGGAAAUGAACAGGAGAGGCAAGGUACCGCUGAGUUCAGCACGAGGUGGGGGGGACUGCAAGUAGCAGUCUGAAGGCAAAAAGCCCAGGAUGAGGCUGGUACAGAGGUCAGAGGUCAAAGCAUGCUGGGGAUUUGGGAGCAAAGAAUGGAGGGGUGCUCUGCCUGGCCCUGGCAAGAACCCUCCAGCAGGACCCCACCUGGGGAGAGAGGGGGGUCCAGACCCCGGAGAGGUGACAGCUUGGAGGUGAGGGCCAUGUGGUCCUGCAGCACCUGCACCUCCAGCCACUGUGACCAGUGGGCUCAGCAUUCACAACCAACACAUGUGACUGAGGCUGGAGUAUUACAUUAUGAAGUAGAAUGAUUUCCCUCCAG